rnacentral:rRNA from 1 species
GGAAACGGCAUUAAGUGCUUGCACUUUUUGGACGUCGACCGGCGCACGGGUGAGUAACGCGUAUCCAACCUUCCCAUGACUAAGGGAUAACCUGCCGAAAGGCAGACUAAUACCUUAUGGUCUUCACUGACGGCAUCAGAUGUGAAGUAAAGAUUUAUCGGUUAUGGAUGGGGAUGCGUCUGAUUAGCUUGUUGGCGGGGUAACGGCCCACCAAGGCAACGAUCAGUAGGGGUUCUGAGAGGAAGGUCCCCCACAUUGGAACUGAGACACGGUCCAAACUCCUACGGGAGGCAGCAGUGAGGAAUAUUGGUCAAUGGGCGAGAGCCUGAACCAGCCAAGUAGCGUGCAGGAAGACGGCCCUAUGGGUUGUAAACUGCUUUUGUAUGGGGAUAAAGUCAAUCACGUGUGAUUGUUUGCAGGUACCAUACGAAUAAGGACCGGCUAAUUCCGUGCCAGCAGCCGCGGUAAUACGGAAGGUCCGGGCGUUAUCCGGAUUUAUUGGGUUUAAAGGGAGCGUAGGCUGGAGAUUAAGUGUGUUGUGAAAUGUAGACGCUCAACGUCUGACUUGCAGCGCAUACUGGUUUCCUUGAGUACGCACAACGUUGGCGGAAUUCGUCGUGUAGCGGUGAAAUGCUUAGAUAUGACGAAGAACUCCGAUUGCGAAGGCAGCUGACGGGAGCGCAACUGACGCUGAAGCUCGAAGGUGCGGGUAUCGAACAGGAUUAGAUACCCUGGUAGUCCGCACAGUAAACGAUGGAUGCCCGCUGUUGGUAC